rnacentral:ncRNA from 1 species
GACAAAUCGAUGAGAAAGGGAAGUACUUUUCUCCGCUGCAUCACAGAGAGUCGGGGUAGCUGGAAACCGGCAUGCAUGGGAAAAGGAAUGGGCUUUCGAGAGUGCUCUGGAAUAUAGUAUAGAGCAACGCUUGAUCAGCGUUAUUGGAUCAAUGAGCGGAAGGAACAAAAUAAUCCUUCAAGUAGAGGUGGCACCGCGGUCGUCAUAAACCGUCCCUAUC